UACGGAGGGAGCUAGCGUUGUUCGGAAUUACUGGGCGUAAAGCGCACGUAGGCGGCUUUGUAAGUUAGAGGUGAAAGCCCGGGGCUCAACCCCGGAAUUGCCUUUAAGACUGCAUCGCUUGAAUCCAGGAGAGGUGAGUGGAAUUCCGAGUGUAGAGGUGAAAUUCGUAGAUAUUCGGAAGAACACCAGUGGCGAAGGCGGCUCACUGGACUGGUAUUGACGCUGAGGUGCGAAAGCGUGGG
rnacentral:rRNA from 1 species